UUGUGCUAGGCUUGGGAUAGCAUCAACUCCAUUUGGAGGCCCUUCUCUGAAGAUACUUGGAUGUGGUAACAGCCCUGGAGCAAACCCCUGGACCAAGCCACAUAUUAUGUUAAAAAGUGCCUGAAACCAGGACAAGACCUGCACUAAGAGGUGUCAAUACCCUUAGCAGGCUGUCUCCUGUAAAGCUGGCAGGGCACAGUUACCACUGAGUGAACUUUAGGAAAGUUCAUGGGGACAUCCCACCUCCAGGUGCAGGACAUCUACCCACGGAGAGAGAACCCUGGAGGAAGAGAUAAAAUGGGAAGAGGAGAGGGUGUUAAUUGUGACAGUCCCUACAGCAGGACCCAUCAAGGAGUGAUUUUCACUUCAAUGCCUCACUGGAGAAAUCUCGGCUCAAAGAAAGGGCUUAGCCAAAAGAAACUAGAAGACAAUAUUAUUCAGGUAAUCUAACGUUAUGCUUCAGAGAGCACAAGAAAUUUACAUGGGAGGAUGAGAAAGCCAUUUUUCACACGGUUGAGGAUAUUGAACAGCUCACCGGCUGCAUCCUGGGAAGAGUCUCAUCUUCCCAAUGAGCAGUUGCUAUCUGAGAAGACAGGAUUAACUGGAACAAUGGUUUGACUGGACCACUGGACUGUAAGAAUUGGCUUUGUCUGAGUAUCCAUUCUCUUCCCUUGCCUUCCCCUUGAAAACACAUAACAAGCCUGAUCACAGCUCUCUGUCCCACCAAACUGAGAGGUGUGUUGCUGCUUACAUUAAAAGAUAGGGCACAUGCAAACAGAUGUCAGAAGUGCUGGACCUGGCUUCAUCCGGGUGUUUGCACUGCUGUGAAAAAGUCAUGACACAGCUGCUGAGCUAGAUAACAGACAGAAUCAUAGAACAGUUUAGCCUGGAAGGGAUCUUAAGUAUCAUCUAAUUCCAACUCCAUUGCCACAGACAGGGAUGCAGCUCAAAAAGAAAUGAAGGGCACCCAUAGUGUUAGUACUUCAGGAUAAACUCAGACUGCCAUGUUGGGGGGCAGGCUUUUUAUUAAUAAAAAUAUUAUGCUUCAGAUUUCACAGUGCUUCUGAUGCAGCCAUAUUCCUUUGGUCAGCAAUGGUCUUUCACUGCUCUGCUUUGGCUUUUGCUGUGGAGCAACUCCUAGACAUCAGGACAGGAAAACAUUUAAAAUCCCUUGAUUUCAAUCCUAUACAGUGAGUUUGCAUUUUCCUUUAAGCUGUUUUUCUUUCUCUGCCACAAAUCCUACCUUAAAACAGUUUCAGGGUGUCCUAUCCACCCCCAUUAUCUGUUGUUUAGCAUGUCCUGCUCACUUCCCAUCUUGCUCCUUCUAGAAGCAAUAAUCUAUGUAUGCAGUACUGGUGUAGGAUAAAUAUUGCCUGAAAGACUUCAAGGCUAAGCGUAAGCAAGAUUUGUAGGGAGGGAACAUAACUUUUCUUAAGUUAACUGCUUUAGCUUGAAUAAAACAGGAUUUCCCAGGCACAUCAAACAUUUGACCUGAUGCAAACCCAGUCACCAGCACCACAUUGCAGCGACAAACACUGACCUACUCCAGGGCAUGUAAACAAGAAAGAUAUGGAACAACACAUGUAAAAGUCACAGAUUUUAAGAGCUAGGUAGAUCAGAGACUAUCUCCAGUUCACAAGUACUUUCAGUGGGAUUCAGAUGUCACUGCCCUCUCAAUACUCUCUAUUCCCAUAUUUCUCAAUGCAAUCCUGGUAUAAAUGAAGCCACUCACACAGCAUGGAAGAAGCCCUGACCCCAGGGUCUUGACUGAGGAGGUUGUUUUAUAAAGUCAUGCUAUGCUGAAACUACAUUGGGAAUAUGUGAGGAAGAAAAGGAAGGGUGGAAUUGUCUACAACUCCUGCUACAAACUGAGACUGUAUGCCCAAUGCACCCAAGGAUGUCAGAAAUGUUUUCACAUUGCCCAGAAAAAGAAGGAACAUUUGGAAGGAAAAGGAGAAAGGAAGAAGGGCUGGUGGACCCAGGGCAUCUUCCACAUUGCUUGCAGAAACUCGUCCUGAGGUCUGUCUGAGAACACAGGAACAGGAGGAAUUACAACCCAGGAGUACCGAUAUAGACCCAUUUUUUUUAUUUCUCCAAAACUAAGCAGUAGGCUGAAAACUGAAUCUUCAAGGCAGGGCUGUUGCAUGUUCCUGAUCCAGAAAUCCCACAUCUGAUCUGUUCUCCUAGUAAAGACAUGUGGAGCUUCA